rnacentral:sRNA from 1 species
AAAUCCCGCUGCAGCCAUUGCCGCAGACACGAUGCCGAAACGAAAGAAGCAGAAUCAGCACCAGCCACCGACACAGCAGCAGCCCCCACUGCCCGAGCGGGAAGAGACUGGAGAUGAGGAGGAUGGGAGUCCCAUCGCCCCAAACUGGAUACCACCCACAUGCCCAUCAUCAGUAGAAUGGAUAAAUAAAUUGUUGUGUAUGCAUGCAAUGGGACUACACUGCAACGAAAAUGAAUGAACUACUGCUACAGGCAACCUGGAUGAAUCUCACAAACAUGAUGUUGAGCGAAAGGAGCCAGACAUAAAAGAAUGCAGACUCUCUUCACAGAGGUCCUCCAGGAUCAAGGGGACCACUGAUUCCACCACUGCUGAGUCUCCCACCUCCUCCUUGGGGUAGAGGCCCAAUUUGGAGAGGCCUUGGCCCCAGGUCUAGCCCAUAUGGUCGUGGUUGGUGGGGAGUCAAUGCAGAACCUCCUUUUCCGGGGCCAGGCCAUGGGGGUCCCACCAGGGGAAGCUUUCACAAAGAACAGAGAAACCCUCGAAGGCUCAAAAGCUGGUCUCUUAUCAAGAAUACCUGCCCGCCCAAGGAUGACCCCCAGGUUAUGGAAGACAAAUCCGACCGCCCUGUCUGCCGACAUUUUGCCAAAAAGGGCCACUGUCGAUAUGAGGACCUCUGUGCCUUCUACCACCCAGGCGUCAAUGGACCUCCUCUGUGAGACUGUGCCUUCCCAUCCAGGCUGGAAGGAGCUGUCUGUGACCUAGCGGCCAUUUAUUUCUCUGUAGCCCUAUGAUGGCUACUGUGAGGCUCUUCUAACACCCUCAGUCAGUGACACACCCACCCCAUCCACCACCUCCCCUGUGUGGGGUCCAGAGUUGUGUUGCAUCACUGGUGCGCGGUAUACGCGCUUUCUUCUGAUCCAGCCUGUAGAGACUCGCCUUUGGGACCCAUCUUUGCUUCCUUUCAGUUGCCUCCUGGAUCUUCUUUCCCAUCAUCAAAUGACUGCUGAACAGGAAACCUCUUUGGUGCUGUUUCUUGUGCAUCUGUCCACCUGUUCCCCAGUAUUGCCCUCAAUUCCUGAGAGCCCUGGAGUGGUUUCCUACCAUUCCCUUCUUUUAGCUGCUGUUUUAAGUCCUUUUUAUGUGACAUUCCCUACCCCCAAUGUUGUCAGCUGCUUGUGAAACUCAGCCAGGUUGUCUAACCUGGGGUCAAGUUUGGGUGACUGGUGCAGAGUUACUUCCUAAAAGGCCACUCUCCCUGCCUUUGGAUUUCAUAGUUUCUCUGUCAGUAGCAUGAUCCCCACCACUAUGGUCUAUUAUCACCGUGCUUUGUGAAACUGUGCAUCCCCUUGUAGCCUUUCUCAGUGUCCGUGGCAUUUUUGUGACUUUCCAGCACUAGAAUAAGUUUUCCUGCCAAAAUGAGUGAGGCGCUUGGUGCCCUCUGGACUUUCCCACUUCCCAACAUGGGAGAAUUGAGAACUUUCCAUCAGACUGCCUCCCUGGCCCUCCCCAUUCUUCUCCUGUUGGUUAUUCUGGGUCUGACACAGGCCCAUGACAUGUCUUACAAAGCCUCCAAUGGCUUUAUCCUACCUAGAUCCCUCCCAGCCCAUUUUAAUUAGACUGUGUCAUCGUGAGGCCACCAGUCCAUUCAUUUGAAUUCUGUGAAUCUCCACCUUGCCUAUCUUUGGGUGGAACCUGGACAGUACUGUCGCCCUCUUCCAACCCUCUUCCCCUACAUCCCUGGCACUGGUUGUUUUCUGUGAAAACAGCAGUGAACAGGUUCAGUUUUGAACUGGCCCUGAGGAAAUGGGUCAGGAGUUGUAUUGGCAAGAGGGAGGGAUGAGAGCCGUUGGAGAACUGAGAAUGAGGCUUUGUUUUGUUUUUUUCUUUUUAACUUUUUUUAUAUUAGUAAUAAAUGCAGUGGAAACCAGCAUUUUAUUUAA